ACAUGCAAGUCGAGGGGCAGCGGGAGGAGUGCUUGCACUUCUUGCCGGCGACCGGCGCACGGGUGAGUAACACGUAUGCAACCUGCCUCCGUCAGGGGGACAACCCGGCGAAAGCCGGGCUAAUCCCGCGUAUAUUCCGUGAGGGCAUCCUUACGGAAGGAAAGGCUUCGGCCGGACGGGGAUGGGCAUGCGGCGCAUUAGGUAGUCGGGGGUGUAACGGACCACCGAGCCGACGAUGCGUAGGGGUUCUGAGAGGAAGGUCCCCCACACUGGUACUGAGACACGGACCAGACUCCUACGGGAGGCAGCAGUGAGGAAUAUUGGUCAAUGGUCGGAAGACUGAACCAGCCAAGCCGCGUGAAGGAAGAAGGUGCUCGGCAUCGUAAACUUCUUUUGUCAGGGAACAAAGGGCGGUACGUGUACCGCUGUGAGUGUACCUGAAGAAAAAGCAUCGGCUAACUCCGUGCCAGCAGCCGCGGUAAUACGGAGGAUGCGAGCGUUAUCCGGAUUUAUUGGGUUUAAAGGGUGCGCAGGCGGCGCGGUAAGUCAGCGGUAAAAGCCCGGGGCUCAACCCCGGCGAGCCGUUGAAACUGCCGUGCUAGAGUAAGGUCGAGGUAUGCGGAAUGCGCGGUGUAGCGGUGAAAUGCAUAGAUAUCGCGCAGAACUCCGAUUGCGAAGGCAGCAUACCGGUCCUUUACUGACGCUCAGGCACGAAAGCGUGGGGAUCAAACAGGCUUAGAUACCCUGGUAGUCCACGCAGUAAACGAUGAAUACUGGGUGUUCGGAAUGUAGAUUCUGAGUGCCGAAGCGAAAGCGUUAAGUAUUCCACCUGGGGAGUACGCCGGCAACGGUGAAACUCAAAGGAAUUGACGGGGGCCCGCACAAGCGGAGGAACAUGUGGUUUAAUUCGAUGAUACGCGAGGAACCUU
rnacentral:rRNA from 1 species